rnacentral:rRNA from 1 species
GACGAACGCUGGCGGCGUGCUUAACACAUGCAAGUCGAGCGGAGCGGCGAACGGGUGAGUAACGCGUGAGUAACUGCCCCCCUCCCUGGGAUAACAGUUGGAAACGGCUGCUAAUACCGGAUAGUGGGGGAUGACUCGCGUCCUAUCAGCUUGUUGGUGGGGUAGUGGCCUACCAAGGCGACGACGGGUACCCGGCCUGAGGGGGAGACCGGCGACAUUGGGGGGAGGUACUGCCCAGGAUGCUACGUGGGGCAGCAGGGGGGAAUACUGCACAAUGGGGGAAACCCUGAUGCAGCAACGCCGCGUGCGGGAUGACGGCGUUCUGGUGGUAAUCCGCUUUCAGCCAUGACUCGGUAGUGACAGAAGAAGCACCGGCUAAGUACGUGACAGCAGCCGCGGUAAGAC